rnacentral:rRNA from 1 species
AAAGUCGUAACAAGGUCUCCGUUGGUGAACCAGCGGAGGGAUCAUUACAGAGUUGCAAAACUCCCAAACCAUUGUGAACGUUACCCAUCCCGUUGCUUCGGCGGGCGGCCCGGGCCCCGUGCCCGGCGCCCCCCGGCCCCUCGCGGGCGCCCGCCGGAGGUAAACCAAACUCUUGAAUUGUAUGGCCUCUCUGAGUCUUCUGUACUGAAUAAGUCAAAACUUUCAACAACGGAUCUCUUGGUUCUGGCAUCGAUGAAGAACGCAGCGAAAUGCGAUAAGUAAUGUGAAUUGCAGAAUUCAGUGAAUCAUCGAAUCUUUGAACGCACAUUGCGCCCGCCAGUAUUCUGGCGGGCAUGCCUGUUCGAGCGUCAUUUCAACCAUCAAGCCCCCGGCUUGUGUUGGGGACCUGCGGCUGCCGCAGGCCCUGAAAACCAGUGGCGGGCUCGCUAGUCACUCCGAGCGUAGUAGUUACAUCUCGCUCAGGGCGUGCUGCGGGUUCCGGCCGUUAAAAAGCCUUAUUUACCCCAAGGUUGACCUCGGAUCAGGUAGGAAGACCCGCUGAACUUAAGCAUAUCAAUAA